rnacentral:rRNA from 1 species
CCUACGGGUGGCUGCAGUGAGGAAUAUUGGUCAAUGGCCGGAAGGCUGAACCAGCCAAGUCGCGUGAAGGACGACGGUGCUAUGCAUUGUAAACUUCUUUUGUCAAGGGACAAAAUCAGCCUCGCGUGCCGUUCCGAGAGUACCCGAAGAAAAAGCAUCGGCUAACUCCGUGCCAGCAGCCGCGGUAAUACGGAGGAUGCGAGCGUUAUCCGGAUUUAUUGGGGUUAAAGGGUGCGUAGGCGGAAUGUAAAGUCAGCGGUAAAAUCGCGGGGCUCAACCCCGGCGAGCCGUUGAAACUGGCUGUCUUGAGAGGGCGAGAGGUAUGCGGAAUGCGUGGUGUAGCGGUGAAAUGCUUAGAUAUUACGCAGAACUCCGAUUGCGAAGGCAGCAUACCGGCGGCGAACUGACGCUGAGGCACGAAAGCGUGGGUAUCGAACAGGAUUAGAUACCCCUGUAGUC